UCAAAGAGCUUUCAACUGUUCAUUCUGUGGC
rnacentral:piRNA from 1 species